rnacentral:rRNA from 1 species
UGGGGAAUAUUGGACAAUGGGCGAAAGCCUGAUCCAGCCAUGCCGCGUGUGUGAAGAAGGUCUUCGGAUUGUAAAGCACUUUAAGUUGGGAGGAAGGGCAGUAAGCGAAUACCUUGCUGUUUUGACGUUACCGACAGAAUAAGCACCGGCUAACUCUGUGCCAGCAGCCGCGGUAAUACAGAGGGUGCAAGCGUUAAUCGGAAUUACUGGGCGUAAAGCGCGCGUAGGUGGUUCGUUAAGUUGAAUGUGAAGGCCCCGGGCUCAACCUGGGAACUGCAUCCAAGACUGGCGAACUAGAGUAGGGCGGAGGGUGGUGGAAUUUCCUGUGGAGCGGUGAAAGGCGUAGAUAUAGAAAGGAACACCAGAGGCGAAGGCGACCACCUGGGCUCAUACUGACACUGAGGUGCGAAAGCGUGGGGAGCAAACAGG